rnacentral:rRNA from 1 species
CCUACGGGAGGCUGCAGUGAGGAAUAUUGGUCAAUGGGCGAGAGCCUGAACCAGCCAAGUCGCGUGAGGGAGUACUGCCCUAUGGGUUGUAAACCUCUUUUGUCGGGGAGCAAAAGCCGGACGUGUCCGGCUGUGAGAGUACCCGAAGAAAAAGCAUCGGCUAACUCCGUGCCAGCAGCCGCGGUAAGACGGAGGAUGCGAGCGUUAUCCGGAUUUAUUGGGUUUAAAGGGGGCGCAGGCGGAUUUUUAAGUCAGCGGUAAAAUCGUGGGGCUCAACCCCAUCCAGCCGUUGAAACUGGGGAUCUAGAGUGUGCGAGAGGUAUGCGGAAUGCGUGGUGUAGCGGUGAAAUGCAUAGAUAUCACGCAGAACCCCGAUUGCGAAGGCAGCAUACCGGUGCACAACUGACGCUCAGGCACGAAAGCGUGGGUAUCGAACAGGAUUAGAUACCCUUGUAGUC